GCCCACCCGUUUUUGUGGCCUUUUUCCGCUGGACGAACUUGGCGCCCCGGCUGUCGGGCGGUUAUUUUUGGGCGCGGCUUUGCCCGCGGCCUAUUUUUGGCACACGGAGGCCCCUCGCAAAUUCUCGCGGCAUUCCGAGUCCAGCGGACGAACGUCGCCCACGCCCCCCACCAAGGCUAUAGCCCAUCCUUUUUUGGCCAUUUUUCCGCUGGGGGGGCUUGGGACCCCGACCUUCGGGGGCUGAUUUUUGGACGCGGCUGUGCCCGUGGCCUAUUUAUGGCACACGGAGGCCGCCCGCCAAGUAUGGUGCCAUUCCGAGUCCCGGGGACGAACUUCGCCCACGCCCACCACCAAGGCUAUAGCCCACCCGUUUUUUGGCCAUUUUUCCCCAGGGGGGUCUUGGGACCCCGACCUUCCGGGGCUGAUUGUUGGACGCGGCUGUGCCCGUGGCCUAUUUUUGGCACACGGAGGCCGCCCGCCAAGUCUGGGGCCAUUCCGAGUCCCGCGGACGAACGUCGCCCACGCCCCCCACCAAGGGUAUAGCCCACCCUUUUUUUGGCCAUUUUUCCGCUGGGGGGGCUUGGGACCCCGACC
rnacentral:lncRNA from 1 species